GCACAUUUCAUUAAUGAUCAAUAUACUGUAUUUUUCUAUAAGAUACAUUUGAAAAGUGUUUUUGUUUCAUGUUUUACGCAGCAAGGUGCAAGACCACUACAGAAAUGUAUCAUAACUUAUAGUGGAUGUAGGCUACACAUAUUUACCAUAAAACUGCAGGACUUGAAUCAAUCAAUGAAACAACAAACAAAGUUUGAUGUUUAGUAAGUGAUUAUGUCUUUAAUUUUGCAACUGAUUUAACAGUAACUUUAUAGUCUGGAAGUGUUUUAAUUAUUGUAAAUAUAUUGUGCUUAUAUAGGCUAUCAAAUUUUGUUGAAUAAAGCACUAAAUUUGAAAAAGUACAUUUGCACAUUCAGUUAUCCUGAAGCAACAGAGCAACCCAGAGACGUCAACACACAUGGCUAAAGGGUCUUCUCAUUGAUCCGGGUCUUGAAUGCGUGCUCAUUUUAUUGCUGUCAGCCAUUUCAGUGCUGUGGAAGAGAGCUGCUUGCCAGAAGAACCAUGACUCUCCUCCAACCCCUGAACCACCUGAAAGGGCAGACAGUCUAGUGUAUGACGUGAUACAGCUGGUACACCCACCAAGAGGACCAAGGCCCAACUGCAUUGCCUCAACUAUUUACUCCAGAGUUCAGUUUCCAAAUCUUGAACUCACAAAUACUGCCUAAUAAGGUGCCACAUCUGCACUACCCUUCCUCUUCCAUCUGGUUUAACAUAUCUCMGCUAUUGUGAUAAUAGUUAUGACGUUGGUGGAUAUUGUGAACUAGAAUAUAACUUUGGUAGAUAAUGUGAAUCUACUCUGAAUAUUAAUAUCUUUGUAUACUGUACAGUAUCUAAUGCUGCUCUUCGUCACUCGUCUAUAUACCAGUCAGCAAUAUCUUUGAAGGAAAUUAUUACUUUUGAGUCUUGA